rnacentral:rRNA from 1 species
CUACGGGGCGCUCCAGUGAGGAAUAUUGCACAAUGGGGGGAACCCUGAUGCAGCAACGCCGCGUGGAGGAUGACGCAUUUCGGUGUGUAAACUCCUUUUAUAUGUCAAGAAAAUGACGGUAGCAUAUGAAUAAGCACCGGCUAACUCCGUGCCAGCAGCCGCGGUAAUACGGAGGGUGCAAGCGUUACUCGGAAUCACUGGGCGUAAAGGACGCGUAGGCGGGUUGGAAAGUCAGGUGUGAAAGCCUACAGCUUAACUGUAGAGCUGCACUUGAAACUUCUAAUCUAGAGUAUGGGAGGGGGAGAUGGAAUUAGUGGUGUAGGGGUAAAAUCCGUAGAUAUCACUAGGAAUACCUAAAGCGAAGGCGAUCUCCUGGAACAUUACUGACGCUAAGGCGUGAAAGCGUGGGGAGCAAACAGGAUUAGAUACCCUCGUAGUC